UACGUAGGGUGCGAGCGUUAAUCGGAAUUACUGGGCGUAAAGCGUGCGCAGGCGGUUGUGCAAGUCCGAUGUGAAAUCCCCGGGCUUAACCUGGGAAUGGCAUUGGUGACUGCACGGCUAGAGUGUGUCAGAGGGGGGUAGAAUUCCACGUGUAGCAGUGAAAUGCGUAGAGAUGUGGAGGAAUACCGAUGGCGAAGGCAGCCCCCUGGGAUAACACUGACGCUCAUGCACGAAAGCGUGGGGAGCAAACAGG
rnacentral:rRNA from 1 species